CGACCCCACCAACCCCCCCCCCCUCCGAACCACCAACCCAACUGUUACCAGGGCACUGACUGUCUAUGGAAGGGGAACAGCUGGCAGUUCCACCGGGGGGGGAAUGUUUCUGUGAAAACCACACGCGCAGACGAGGGAGAGAGAGCGUGUGUGUGUGUGUGUGUGUGUGUGUGUGUGUGUGCUUGCGUGUGUGGGUGGGCGUUUUAGGCGUGCGUGCCUGCGUGCGUUUUCGGGUGUGGGGGCGGAGUCGGCUCCAGUGAUCGGCUUCAGAGAUGGCUCGUUCCUCCCCUCCAGCUGGAGUAGCGUGUUACCAUGGUGAUGGCCCUGAUGGGGGUGGGGGUGGGGGGGGAUGCAUUGGGAGAAGAAUCCCUGAGGGCAGCCAUUGGAGAGUGGAGACGAUAUGGACAGACUGACCGACCGACCAGCUUACCAUCCUCAGAAACGGGAAAACAUGUUCGUUCAUAAAUAUCUAGAGACAUAAACGCUUUAUUUUUUGCCUUUUAUUUUUUUGAGGGAAGUCUUUCUGCUCAUUGAGGUUGUAAGACGGUUUUGGCUUCGACACUCUUGAUUUGUGUGAAUAUGGUUUGUUUGCUGUUCUGUAGUUUGAAGUUAAAUGAGUGGUGUAAGUGUGGACUGUGAUUUGCCUCUUUACUUUCCUGUAGCUUGAUUGAUUUUAUUUCUCACUGUGUAACCUUUUAGAGAAGCUUUUUUUCAACAGCUGCAUGGCUUUUUUUUCAGAACCAGCACUUGUGAUUGUCUUUACCAAUAUUUGCAGUAAAUUCUCAAACUGCCAACUGGA